rnacentral:rRNA from 1 species
UACGUAGGGUGCAAGCGUUGUCCGGAAUUAUUGGGCGUAAAGAGCUCGUAGGCGGCUUGUCACGUCGAUUGUGAAAGCCCGAGGCUUAACCUCGGGUCUGCAGUCGAUACGGGCUAGCUAGAGUGUGGUAGGGGAGAUCGGAAUUCCUGGUGUAGCGGUGAAAUGCGCAGAUAUCAGGAGGAACACCGGUGGCGAAGGCGGGUCUCUGGGCCGUUACUGACGCUGAGGAGCGAAAGCGUGGGGAGCGAACAGG